rnacentral:rRNA from 1 species
AACGAACGCUGGCGGCAUGCCUAACACAUGCAAGUCGAACGAGACCUCCGGGUCUAGUGGCGCACGGGUGUGUAACGCGUGGGAACAUGCACUUAGGUUCGGAAUACCUACCCGACAGGGGUGCUAAUACCGGAUAAUGUCUUCGGACCAAAGAUGUAUUGCCUUUGGUUGGGCCCGCGUGGGAUUAGCUAGUUGGUAGGAUAAAAGCUUACCAAGGCGACGAUCCAAAGCUGGUAUGAGUGGAUGGUCAGCCACACUGGGACUGGGACACGGCCCAGAAUCCCAGGGGAGGCAGCAGGGGUGAAGGUUGGACAAUGGGCGAAAGCCUGAUCCAGUAAGGCCGCGAGAGUGAUGAAGGCGUGAGGAAUAUAAGGCUCUUUUACCCUGGAUGAUAAGAACAGAACCGGGAAAAUAGACACCGCCAAACUCCUG